rnacentral:rRNA from 1 species
CCUACGGGUGGCAGCAGUGAGGAAUAUUGGUCAAUGGGCGAGAGCCUGAACCAGCCAAGUCGCGUGAAGGAUGAAGGCUCUAUGGUUUGUAAACUUCUUUUAUAUGGGAGUAAAGUGCGGAACGUGUUCCUUUUUGUAUGUACCCUAUGAAUAAGCAUCGGCUAACUCCGUGCCAGCAGCCGCGGUAAUACGGAGGAUGCGAGCGUUAUCCGGAUUUAUUGGGUUUAAAGGGUGCGUAGGUGGGUAAUUAAGUCAGGGGGGAAAGUUUGUGGCUCAACCAUAAAAUUGCCGUUGAAACUGGUGGACUUGAGUGUAUGUAGGGUAGGCGGAAUGCGUGGUGUAGCGGUGAAAUGCAUAGAUAUCACGCAGAACUCCGAUUGCGAAGGCAGCUUACUAGACUAUAACUGACACUGAAGCACGAAAGCGUGGGGAUCAAACAGGAUUAGAUACCCGAGUAGUC